UACGUAGGGGGCAAGCGUUGUCCGGAAUCAUUGGGCGUAAAGAGCGUGUAGGCGGCUCGAUAAGUCCGCUGUGAAAGUCCAGGGCUCAACCCUGGAAGGCCGGUGGAAACUGUCGGGCUAGAGUCCGGAAGAGGCGAGUGGAAUUCCUGGUGUAGCGGUGAAAUGCGCAGAUAUCAGGAGGAACACCAGUGGCGAAGGCGGGUCUCUGGGCCGAUACUGACGCUGAGGAGCGAAAGCGUGGGGAGCGAACAGG
rnacentral:rRNA from 1 species